GCUACCAACCGAACCAUCGCUCCAUCCUUGUGGCGGAGAGGAAAGUCCGGACAGCGCAGAGCAAUGCACCGGUUAAGAGCCGGGUCCCCGGCAUUCUUUGAAUGCAGGGGAACAGACAGUACCACAGAAAAUAACCGCCCCGUUCUCACGAGCAGGGUAAGGGUGAAAAUGUGAGGCAAGAGCUCACGUUCGUUUUGAGUAAUCAACGCGAAGGGUAAACCUUGCAUGCUGAAAUGCCAUGUACACCAGCGCCUGAGGGCUGCUCGCCCGAUGCUGGAGGGUAGGCAGAAAGAUCGCUGCAGCAAUGCAGCGGCCAGAUAAAUGAUGGUUUAGAAACAGGAUCCGGCUUAUGAGUUGGUAGUUUUA
rnacentral:RNase_P_RNA from 1 species